GCAUGACGCUCUUGAGCGUUUCCUCCCUAAACUCGGCAGCCGCGCUUUUAGCGCGGCUCUUUUUUUGUGUGCG
rnacentral:sRNA from 1 species